UACAGAGGUCCCAAGCGUUGUCCGGAAUCACUGGGCGUAAAGGGCGCGUAGGCGGCUCAUGAAGGCUGUGGUGAAAGUCCGGGGCUCAACCUCGGAUCGGCCGUGGCGACUCGUGGGCUGGAGCACUGUAGAGGCGGGUGGAAUUCCGGGUGUAGCGGUGGAAUGCGUAGAGAUCCGGAAGAACACCGGUGGCGAAGGCGGCCUGCUGGGCAGUAGCUGACGCUGAUGCGCGACAGCGUGGGGAGCAAACAGG
rnacentral:rRNA from 1 species